rnacentral:lncRNA from 1 species
CAAUGGAAGCAGUUGUGGAAAACUGCUUUAAAUGUCAUAGAGCACUCAGAAGGAAUUCAUAAAUGACCUCAUAAAGAAGUCCACUGUGGUUUCCCUGCAGAGGUGGGAAUAGAAUCAGAGUGCUAAGGAUUGAGGGAUUAAGAGGAGGUGAUUGUAUUAUUCCUCUUUUCAGAUAAUGGAGAGAGAGAAGAGAACAGCAGUAGCCGUUGCCAGAAAUAUUGAGCAAGGCGGAUUUAUUAGAUGAAGAUAUCAAAAUACUUUCCAUUGAGGAAACAGGUUGGAGGUGGGAGGCUGUAACCAUGCUUGAUUUUGUACCACCCUAACCUUUGCUUGAUCCAGGUUCCAGUCCAAUAUGCACCAUUCAGCCUGGUUGCAGCAUGUUAAGCAGCCCUGGAGGCAGCAGAUGAGGGAUCCUAUGAAGCAACUUUCAGACAUUCAGAACCAAGACAAAAAAAAAGAGAAUUAAAGUAAAAUAUGAUGUACCCAGGAGUUACAUCAGUGAACCAAAUACAGCCUCAAAUUUCGAUCUGUGCUUCACAGCAGCCAGCAAAAAGAACAAAACAUAUUUUGUUAGUUCAUAUAAAUAAAUAAAUUAAAAAUGCAUGAAUAAAUAAAUAAAGCAAACCAGUUUCUCGAUUCUGAAAUAUUUUCUGGAAGUGAGAACUGAAAGGAAUUUCCACCAUGGACCCACAAGCAGUUGUUGGUGGCAUAUAUAAUGAGUGCUGGGUGUUAAGGAAGCAAUGGUGAAGGAGAGACACCCUCCCGACCCUCAUGGUGCUUGCAGCCUAGUGGAGCUAUGAAAAGAUAGGCAAGUGAGUCCUAUGAUUGGAGAAGUAAUGAGAAGUAAUGAGAAGCGUCUUCUAAGCAUAGGGGUAAAGACUGCAAAGACCCUGAAGGGAGAAAGUAAUGGCCAUUCUGAGAACUGAAAGUUUGCACAGUGCACAGAGGGCAUGAAGAACGAAGGAAAGAGAUUUUUUUUUUUUUUUUUUUGCCCAAGAUGGCAAGUUGCUUAAAACCUAAAGCUCCUUUCAAUUCUUUACAAUCCAAGAUUAUAUGGAAUGGACUGGGAACAAAGAGAGGGACUGGCAUUUAAAGUCUUUUAUACACUUUGGAACAAAUGUUAUUCUCCAUUCAUCCUGACACUAAAUUGGUUAGCCAAACCCAAAGAUCUACUAAUAAUCCUGCUUUGGCAUGGGAGAAUGAGUGAGAUAAGGAGGCAAUAGAGGAGAUGAAUCGACAAAUGGAAGGAAUAGAAUUCUGGUUGAUGUCCUUGUCUCUAAGCUGUAGCAGCAAAUGUUUCAAUUCAUGCCAUCACAUCUUUGAAAACUGGCAAUUCAACCUUGCCUUGAGCAUUUCCAUGUACAGGAAACACAUGAUCUCUUAAGGAGUCCAUUUCACCGUCAGACGGUUCUGAAGGAUGUGAGUGGUUCUCAACAUUGAAACCAGUGCUGGCUCCUGGUUUGAAUUUCUGUAGCCACUCCAGUCUCGUUCUUGUGCUCACCAUUCCUCCAAAUUGGCCGCCUAUGACUUCUAUGACAAUAAAUCCAAUGGACCCUUGCCAAGCUUAUCAUAUUUUCUCAGCAGCAUUUGACCCAGUUGGCAUUCUUGACUUCUUCAAGGCUCCUUCUGUCCUUGAUUCCCACUAUGUCACUUUCUCCUGGAUGCCUGCCUAUGUCUCUGGGCAUGGCUUCCCCAUCUCCUUUGCCAAUGUAUCUACCUCAAUUCCAAAAACAAUCAUAACCUCCAGAAAUGCUUUGUCCCACACAAAAUAUUUACCUAAAUGUUAAAGUUUUCUUUAGGCUUCCAGUCAGUUUACUCAGGAGUUGAU